UACGUAGGGUGCGAGCGUUGUCCGGAAUUAUUGGGCGUAAAGGGCUCGUAGGCGGUUUGUCGCGUCAGGAGUGAAAACUCGGGGCUUAACCCCGAGCCUGCUUCUGAUACGGGCAGACUAGAGGUAUGCAGGGGAGAACGGAAUUCCUGGUGUAGCGGUGAAAUGCGCGGAUAUCAGGAGGAACACCGGUGGCGAAGGCGGUUCUCUGGGCAUUACCUGACGCUGAGGAGCGAAAGUGUGGGGAGCGAACAGG
rnacentral:rRNA from 1 species